rnacentral:rRNA from 1 species
AUGAACGCUAGCGACAGGCCUAACACAUGCAGGUCAGGGGCAGCACAAGGAGCAAUCUGAGGUGGCGACCGGCGCACGGGUGAGUAACACGUAUGCAACCUGCCUGUAAGCGGGGAAUAACCCGUUGAAAGACGGACUAAUACCGCAUAAUACUAAAUUACUGCAUGGUAAUUUAUUUAAACAUUUAUGGCUUACAGAUGGGCAUGCGCAUGAUUAGCUAGUUGGAGAGGUAACGGCUCCCCAAGGCAACGAUCAUUAGGGGUUCUGAGAGGAAGGUCCCCCACACUGGUACUGAGACACGGACCAGACUCCUACGGGAGGCAGCAGUGAGGAAUAUUGGUCAAUGGACGAGAGUCUGAACCAGCCAAGUCGCGUGCAGGAAGAAUGUCCCUAUGGAUUGUAAACUGCUUUUGCAGGGGAAUAAAGUGCAUCACGUGUGAUGUUUUGUAUGUACUCUGCGAAUAAGGAUCGGCUAACUCCGUGCCAGCCGCAGC